GACAGAGGGGGCAAGCGUUGCUCGGAAUCACUGGGCGUAAAGGGCGCGUAGGCGGGAGGACAAGUCGGUCGUGAAAUCUCCGGGCUCAACCCGGAGGAGUCGGCCGAAACUGUUUUUCUUUGAGGGAGGCAGAGGAGUCUGGAAUUCCCGGUGUAGCGAUGAAAUGUGUAGAGAUCGGGAGGAACACCGGUGGCGAAGGCGGGACUCUGGGCCUACCCUGACGCUGAGGCGCGAAGGCGUGGGGAGCAAACGGGG
rnacentral:rRNA from 1 species